rnacentral:rRNA from 1 species
AGUAACGCGUAUGCAACUUACCUAUCAGAGGGGGAGUAACCCGGCGAAAGUCGGACUAAUACCGCAUGAAGCAGGGGCCCCGCAUGGGGAUAUUUGCUAAAGAUUCAUCGCUGAUAGAUAGGCAUGCGUUCCAUUAGGCAGUUGGCGGGGUAACGGCCCACCAAACCGACGAUGGAUAGGGGUUCUGAGAGGAAGGUCCCCCACAUUGGAACUGAGACACGGUCCAAACUCCUACGGGAGGCAGCAUG